rnacentral:rRNA from 1 species
CGUAGGGUGCGAGCGUUAAUCGGAAUUACUGGGCGUAAAGAGUGCGUAGGCGGUCUGUGAAGUCAGAUGUGAAAGCCCCGGGCUCAACCUGGGAACUGCGUUUGUGACUGCAAGGCUAGAGUAUGGCAGAGGGGGGUGGAAUUCCACGUGUAGCAGUGAAAUGCGUAGAGAUGUGGAGGAACACCGAUGGCGAAGGCAGCCCCCUGGGCCAAUACUGACGCUCAUGCACGAAAGCGUGGGUAGCAAACAGGAUUAGAUACCCUGGUAGUCCACGCCCUAAACGAUGUCAACUAGGUGUUGGGUGGGUAAAACCAUUUAGUACCGGAGCUAACGCGUGAAGUUGACCGCCUGGGGACGUACGGCCGCAAGGUUA